rnacentral:rRNA from 1 species
UCCUGGCUCAGGAUGAACGCUAGCGGCAGGCUUAACACAUGCAAGGUCGAGGGGCAGCACAGGGAGCAAUCCGUGGGUGGCGACCGGCGGAAGGGUGCGUAACGCGUGAGCAACUUGCCCGUAUCUGGGGGAUAACCGAUGGAAACGUCGACUAAUACCCCAUAACAUACCGGAUGGCAUCAUUUGGUAUUGAAAGUUACGAUGGAUACGGAUAGGCUCGCGUGACAUUAGCUAGUUGGAGUGGUAACGGCACACCAAGGCGACGAUGUCUAGGGGUUCUGAGAGGAAGGUCCCCCACACUGGAACUGAGACACGGUCCAGACUCCUACGGGAGGCAGCAGUGAGGAAUAUUGGUCAAUGGGCGGAAGCCUGAACCAGCCAUGCCGCGUGAAGGAAUAAGGCCCUAUGGGUCGUAAACUUCUUUUGACGGGGAGCAAUAAGAUCUACGUGUAGAUCGAUGAGAGUACUCGUCGAAUAAGCAUCGGCUAACUCCGUG